rnacentral:snoRNA from 1 species
UUAAAAAAAGAAAAUAAAGGAAUUUUCAAGGCUGCUAGUCAAGAUUAAGUGGUAGUCUAUUUCUCCUACAGAA